rnacentral:rRNA from 1 species
CAAAUUAUCCUCAUAAGUUUGAUGAUAAGAGGUACCUUAUUAAAUAAAUAAGGUGGCACAGAAUUGGAGACCCCGACUGUUUACUAAAAACACAACACAGUGCAAUCAUAAUUAUGGUAGUAUACUGUGUGAAAUUUGCCCGAUGCCAUUAAUAUAAGAAAAGUUAUGGUUUUAUAAUAAAAACUGUGACCUAUCGAAAAUCUGGUUAAUAGCGGUCUUAACUAUGAGGAUCCUAAGGUAGCAAAAUCGAUUGGCCAUUAAAUGUGGUCCGGUAUCAAUAAUGUAACGAUGGUCUCACUGUCUCUACAACUUGCUCAGUGAAAUUGAAUUACGCGUGCAGAUGCGCGUUGCCUCCAGGGGGACGGGAAGACCCUAUGCAGCUU